rnacentral:rRNA from 6 species
UGACCCUUUAAGGGUCCUGAAGGAACGUUGAAGACGACGACGUUGAUAGGCCGGGUGUGUAAGCGCAGCGAUGCGUUGAGCUAACCGGUACUAAUGAACCGUGAGGCUUAACCUUACAACGCCGAAGGUGUUU